UGCAGUCGACGAAGCCUUCGGGCUUAGUGGCGCACGGGUGCGUAACGCGUGGGAACCUGCCUUUAGGUUCGGAAUAACUCAGAGAAAUUUGAGCUAAUACCGGAUAAUGUCUUCGGACCAAAGAUUUAUCGCCUUUAGAUGGGCCCGCGUUAGAUUAGAUAGUUGGUGGGGUAAUGGCCUACCAAGUCGACGAUCUAUAGCUGGUCUGAGAGGAUGAUCAGCCACACUGGGACUGAGACACGGCCCAGACUCCUACGGGAGGCAGCAGUGGGGAAUAUUGGACAAUGGGCGAAAGCCUGAUCCAGCAAUGCCGCGUGAGUGAUGAAGGCCUUAGGGUUGUAAAGCUCUUUUACCAGGGAUGAUAAUGACAGUACCUGGAGAAUAAGCUCCGGCUAACUCCGUGCCAGCAGCCGCGGUAAUACGGAGGGAGCUAGCGUUGUUCGGAAUUACUGGGCGUAAAGCGCGCGUAGGCGGCUUUUUAAGUCAGGGGUGAAAUCCCGGGGCUCAACCCCGGAACUGCCCUUGAAACUGGAUGGCUAGAAUACUGGAGAGGUGAGUGGAAUUCCGAGUGUAGAGGUGAAAUUCGUAGAUAUUCGGAAGAACACCAGUGGCGAAGGCGACUCACUGGACAGUUAUUGACGCUGAGGUGCGAAAGCGUGUGGAGCAAACAGGAUUAGAUA
rnacentral:rRNA from 1 species